ACCGGCAGUUGAAGAUCAGCCGUCGUACGGGCUAGGUGAUGGCGGUCGUCUUUUCGGGUAGAACUUGUCGACUGGGUAAACCUCUUGGUGGCGAUGGCUGUAGCACCUAGUGGAGGCUGCUGAGGGGAGAACGACUCAUAAGAAUGGCUGGAGCAUAGCGAAUGGAAUGGCAUCAAACUAUGUAUUUGAUGUAUUUGAUACCAUUCCACCUAUUCCGCUCCAGCCAUUACCAUGAGCCCAUCCUCCGCAAUUAAGGUGCAACCAACCUCCUGUGGUGGCACGUCCCGCAGCGAUCAGCCCUGGCACACUCACACAGGGGAGUUGUCCUGUAUGAGGCAGAUCUAGAGGGGUGCUCAAGGGAAUGAACAUUAGUGUUUCUAUUUAAGUUAGUGUGUGUCAGAAAGGCUACCUCUGACUGAAGUUUGUCUACUACAUGGGUGAGUGCAUCAAGUUGACAUCCACCGCCGAGAAGAUCAAGGCCACCAGGACAGCGAAACAGCACACCAACGCGAAGAUUACGAUGCAUUUCUGCUGAGACUGCAAAAGAGAAGAAACACAUUGACUGUUUGUUAUUUUUAUUUCGCCUAGAGAUGGUCAAAGUGCCCCAACCUUGCACUCACACAGCCUGAUGUAUUGCACCACACAGCAAAUCAUAAAUGAUAGCAGCGUGUUACCAGGGGAAUUUUACACAAACAUGUACAUACUGUGCAUGGCCACAUGUUCAGGCUCCACCAUAUGGCUCUACCAUAUGGAGAAGAGAAGCCAACAGGGAACCCACUGAAGAGGCCUUUUAAUACCAACCUGGUAUUUAUAGCCACUAACUUGACAUAUUUAGGCUGCAUCCUGGAUCCAUAUGGUGAAAAGGUGACCCUUGGUUGGAAGGAUAAUGAUGGGAAAAGGGAGAACAAAGUAGUUACAGGGAGGGCAGGGCUGGUGGUAGAGUGAUCUACUGAAAAUAGGUUGAUUUUGCCCUAAAUCAAUCAUUUAUGAGAAAGUACUGCUCGGAGCUUGUCCAAAUCAUAUGGGACACAUGGACCUUGGCUAAGCCUGAAAAAGGGAUAUUGUAAUGGCAGAAAAUCUGCAUUGUAUACAGUAUAUCAUCACAACACUGUAUUUAUUAGUCUCUCUCAGACAGAUUAUCUAAUAAAAUAAUUGUGGGUAUAUCAAUAACAAGGUCUUGAGGUGUAAUGUAGUCAAAUGCAUUUUUAUUAAAGUAAAUAUGCCAGUGGAAACUGUGUGAACAAUAUUAUGUAUGCUAAUGGUGCACCCUUGUUACUAAUUAUGCUUAGAUGGCAGGUUCAGUGUCAAUGGGGCGGCAGGGUAGCCUAGUGGUUGGACUAGUAACCGGAAGGUUGCAAGUUCAAACCCCCGAGCUGACAAGGUACAAAUCUGUCGUUCUGCCCCUGAACAGGUAGUUAACCCACUGUUCCUAAAGGUAAAAUAAUAUUAAAAUGUUACCCCUAACAUGUUUCAGCUCCUCUGUGCAACAUCUGAUGAUGUGAGAGUGCUAAGCUAUAUUCACUCUGCUAAUUAUGAUCCUCAAAGGGCACCAGCUGAUGAACAACAUGUGCCCAUAGAAAGAUAUGCUGACGUUGAACUGGGAAAUGUACUGUGGAUUUAUAAUUAACAUCAUUUAUACAUGAAUUAUAAUUGCUGCUUCAUGUAAUAACUUGGUAAUUAACUAUUAAAUGAAUUACAGCAACCA